CUCAACUGACCUCGGGUGGGCUUUGGAGACCACCAAAACCACCCUGGGGGGCUUGGGGACCACCAGGAACAUCAUGGUGGCCACCAGGAACAUCAUGGUGGGCUUUGAGGACACCAUGGAGACCACCAGGAACAUCUUGGGGGGCUUGGGGACAUCAUGGAGACCACCAGGAACAUCUUGGGGGGCUUGGGGACCACCAAGAACAUCAUUGGUGGGCUUUGGUGACCACCAGGAACAUCAUGGUGGGGCUUGGUGACCACCAAGAACAUCUUGGUGGGCUUUGGGGACACCAUGGAGACCACCAGGAACAUCUUGGGGGGCUUGGGGACCACCAAGAACAUCAUUGGUGGGGUUUGGUGACCACCAAGAACAUCAUGGUGGGCUUUGGGGACACCAUGGAGACCACCAAAACCACCCUGGGGGGCUUGGGGACAUCAUGGAGACCACCAGGAACAUCAUGGUGGGGUUUGGUGACCACCAAAAACAUCUUGGUGAGGUUUGAGAACAUCUUGGUGGGGCUUGGAGACCACCCUGGUGGGCUUGGGGACCACCAGAAACAUCUUGGUGGGGCUUGGUGACCACCAAGGUCAGGUUUUGGCCACCAAGGUUGGAAUUUGGCCACCAAGGUCAGGUUUUGGCCACCAAGGUCACCAUUUGGCCACCAAGGUCAGGUUUUGGCCACCAUGGUCGGGAUUUGGCCACCGUGGCCAAGAUUUGGCCACCAAGCUCCAUCUUUGGCCACCAAGGUCAGUUCUUGGCCUCCAAGGUCAGGUUUUGGCCACCAGGAUCAGGUUUUGGCCACCAAGGUCAGGUUUUGGCCACCAAGGUCAGUCUUUGGCCACCAUGGCC
rnacentral:lncRNA from 1 species